AGUCUGACGGAGCAACGCCGCGUGAGUGAUGAAGGUUUUCGGAUCGUAAAGCUCUGUUGUUAGGGAAGAACAAGUGCGAGAGUAACUGCUCGCACCUUGACGGUACCUAACCAGAAAGCCACGGCUAACUACGUGCCAGCAGCCGCGGUAAUACGUAGGUGGCAAGCGUUGUCCGGAAUUAUUGGGCGUAAAGGGCUCGCAGGCGGUUUCUUAAGUCUGAUGUGAAAGCCCCCGGCUCAACCGGGGAGGGUCAUUGGAAACUGGGAAACUUGAGUGCAGAAGAGGAGAGUGGAAUUCCACGUGUAGCGGUGAAAUGCGUAGAGAUGUGGAGGAACACCAGUGGCGAAGGCGACUCUCUGGUCUGUAACUGACGCUGAGGAGCGAAAGCGUGGGGAGCGAACAGGAUUAGAUACCCUGGUAGUCCACGCCGUAAACGAUGAGUGCUAAGUGUUAGGGGGUUUCCGCCCCUUAGUGCUGCAGCUAACGCAUUAAGCACUCCGCCUG
rnacentral:rRNA from 1 species